rnacentral:lncRNA from 1 species
UACAUUACGUAAAUAUGUUUUGUAAAUAUGUUGCAGUAAACUUUCUUCCAUUUGUAAUUUUCACAAGCAAAAGAUCCUGCAAGCCAUAAGACUAUUUUUUCUUAGGAGGAGGAGGUGAAUAGCCUUUCUGGUUUGAGAUUGAGUUUAUCUUAUCCUUCGGCUUCGUAUUUUCAGGAGGAGGACCCGAAUAGCCCUCAAUUUUCAACACAUUUUCCUUAUUAUCUCCCGAAUUCGUAGUAUGUGCAGGAGGAGAACCAG